UGGGGAAUUUUGGACAAUGGGCGCAAGCCUGAUCCAGCAAUGCCGCGUGCAGGAUGAAGGCCUUCGGGUUGUAAACUGCUUUUGUACGGAACGAAAAGCCUCUCUCUAAUACAGGGGGUGAUGACGGUACCGUAAGAAUAAGCACCGGCUAACUACGUGCCAGCAGCCGCGGUAAUACGUAGGGUGCAAGCGUUAAUCGGAAUUACUGGGCGUAAAGCGUGCGCAGGCGGUUUUGUAAGACAGUGGUGAAAUCCCCGGGCUCAACCUGGGAACUGCCAUUGUGACUGCAAGGCUGGAGUGCGGCAGAGGGGGAUGGAAUUCCGCGUGUAGCAGUGAAAUGCGUAGAUAUGCGGAGGAACACCGAUGGCGAAGGCAAUCCCCUGGGCCUGCACUGACGCUCAUGCACGAAAGCGUGGGGAGCAAAACAGGAUUAGAUACCCUGGUAGUCCACGCCCUAAACGAUGUCAACUGGUUGUUGGGGAUUUAUUUCUUCAGUAACGAAGCUAACGCGUGAAGUUGACCGCCUGGGGGAGUACGGCCGCAAGGUUAAAAACUCAAAAUGAAUUGACGGGGUCAUAGCUGUUUCCU
rnacentral:rRNA from 1 species